CAUAAGCUGGUAUCGCCCCAGAAGGUUCAACCAUCUCUGAUGACUGGUGCUGAACUGAGCAACCAAGAACUCCAGAAAAAUCGUACCUUCUUAUACUGGACCAUGCAAAUACACAGGGGAACUAAUUGGUGUGGAGUAUUUGUACAAUCAGUUCUCCAUGACGACGGUGCCAUGAUUGAGAGGUUGGAGGCUGGCUCUGAUCUGUCUAUUGAAUUGGAGGAAGAUGAGGGAUUUGCUCACACAGAAGGGUUUCAGGAUCUAACAGUUCCAACACGAGACAGAGAACCUUCCUGCAGCUGUUUCAGUCCAAUUGCUCGUAUCAAGCUGCGAUGUAGCCUAU